rnacentral:rRNA from 1 species
GGAGCCUGAGAAACGGCUACCACAUCUAAGGAAGGCAGCAGGCGCGCAAAUUACCCAAUGAAAACAGUUUCGAGGUAGUGACGAGAAAUAACAAUACAGGGCAUUUAAUGUCUUGUAAUUGGAAUGACUUAAAUCCAAACCCCUUUCGGAGUAACAAUUGGAGGGCAAGUCUGGUGCCAGCAGCCGCGGUAAUUCCAGCUCCAAUAGCGUAUAUUAGAGUUGUUGCAGUUAAAAAGCUCGUAGUUGUAUUUCUGUUGGGGGCAGCCUGUCCGCCUUCGGGUGUGCAUAGGUGAUCCCUAGCAUUUUUCUGGUUCCCCUUUGUACUUAAUUGUGCAUUGGUUCUCCAGAACUUUUACUUUGAGAAAAAUAGAGUGUUUCAAGCAGGCUAUCGCCUUGAAUACUGCAGCAUGGAAUAAUAAUAUAGGACUUUGGCCCUAUUUUGUUGGUUCUAGGACUAA